rnacentral:rRNA from 1 species
GACGUAGGGCGCGAGCGUUGUCCGGAUUUAUUGGGCGUAAAGAGCUCGUAGGCGGCUUGUCGCGUCGUCCGUGAAAACCUGCAGCUCAACUGCAGGCUUGCGGUCGAUACGGGCAGGCUAGAGUUCGGUAGGGGAGACUGGAAUUCCUGGUGUAGCGGUGAAAUGCGCAGAUAUCAGGAGGAACACCAGUGGCGAAGGCGGCGACCUGGGCCAAUAUUGACGCUGAGGUGCGAAAGCGUGGGGAGCAAACAGG